GAUGAACGCUGGCGGCGUGCCUAAUACAUGCAAGUCGAGCGAACAGAUGAGGAGCUUGCUCCUCUGACGUUAGCGGCGGACGGGUGAGUAACACGUGGAUAACCUACCUAUAAGACUGGGAUAACUUCGGGAAACCGGAGCUAAUACCGGAUAAUAUAUUGAACCGCAUGGUUCAAUAGUGAAAGACGGUUUUGCUGUCACUUAUAGAUGGAUCCGCGCCGCAUUAGCUAGUUGGUAAGGUAACGGCUUACCAAGGCGACGAUGCGUAGCCGACCUGAGAGGGUGAUCGGGCACACUGGAACUGAGACACGGUCCAGACUCCUACGGGAGGCAGCAGUAGGGAAUCUUCCGCAAUGGGCGAAAGCCUGACGGAGCAACGCCGCGUGAGUGAUGAAGGUCUUCGGAUCGUAAAACUCUGUUAUUAGGGAAGAACAAAUGUGUAAGUAACUAUGCACGUCUUGACGGUACCUAAUCAGAAAGCCACGGCUAACUACGUG
rnacentral:rRNA from 1 species